UAAUACAUAGGGUGCAAGCGUUAUCCGGAAUCAUUGGGCGUAAAGCGUCUGUAGGUGGUCUAUUAAGUCUGAAUUUAAAGCCUGGGGCUCAACCCCAGCCCGGUUCGGAUACUGAUAGACUAGAGUUAUAGAGAGGUAAGUAGAACUCCAUGUGAAGCGGUGGAAUGCGUAGAUAUAUGGAAGAAUACCAAUGGCGAAGGCAACUUACUGGAUAUAUACUGACACUCAGAGACGAAAGCGUGGGUAGCAAACAGGAUUAGAUACCCUGGUAGUCCACGCCGUAAACGCUGAUCGUUAGCCGGUGGAAUUGAUCACUGGCGCAGCUAACGCAUUAAACGAUCCGCCUGAGUAGUAUGCUCGCAAGAGUG
rnacentral:rRNA from 1 species